UCCCUGCUGCAAACCCCUUGCACAGGAACCCGCACUCCCAUUAAGCUCAGGACCCCAGCGUGGAGAACAAUAGAAGGAAAUCUGGCAUUACAGCCAAAUAAAAUCAGUUUUUCAUGAAACAUGGGCCAGUUCUCAAAGGAGUUAGAAAGUAGUCAGCCCCAAGUUUGAUUCACUCAUCAACUGCUUUUAUUGCAUGGGUUUUGUUAUUAUUGUGGUUUCUGCAGUGCUGGGCAAGUGCUUGACCACUGAGCCACAUCCCCAACCCCACGGCAAUGGCUGACUACACAGUUUGCUUCAGUCAAGGAUCCCAGACUGCCAAGUUACAAUAAACGCAGAUGGACAUAGUCUGUACAUUUUGCCCAGGACUGGGAUACUGGAGAGGAAGUGGACAAGACCAGGGGUUGGAGGUCAAGGACUAUCAACAGUAUUCGAAGCAGAGACUGAAGAAACUGAAUAUGCUUAGGGGCCUUGACUCCCUGUCUUGUCUCCCGUACACUUCUAAACCAGCCACUGAGCAAAGGCACACACUUCAGAAGGCACUGGCUGGAACAGUCAGUGUGAUCUACAUGGAGAAAGCUCUUUUGCAUCUACAACUAUACAUUGCCUAUCCAAGAACCAGGCAGCAAGACACAGUAGUUUUCUGUGGGCCCAACACUGCCCCGAACCCUUUAAAGAGAUCCAAACUGAAAUGGAAACAUGUAGCAGAAAUGUAUGCAAGCUUAAGCAGUACAUUUUCUGAGAACAAAGAAAAGACAUAAAGAUGUUCUCCCUUUUAAUCUAUAAACAUAAUCCAACAAAUACUGACUGCCUGCCACAUGCAGCAAUCGGCAUUUGUUCCCAUGCUGUCAAGUGUCAGGUACAGACAGUCAGAGAUGAUGAAAUGUUUAAAGCUACCCUUUUAACACACAGACCCGAGUUUUCAUUUUAAUCCCAGGCUUGAACCGUGCCAGUGGCUGCCCAUAUUACCAAAGAGGCUAUUUUUAGGUCUUACAGGGAAAUAAAAAGCAUUUAGCUAACAUGCCACUCAAGAGAACAAUACAAACCAAGCUGUGUUGUCCUGUACUGUGUUGUUCUGUAACCCAGAUAUAAAUCGGUUCUGAUGAUAUGUCUAA